UUGCGCCAAUGCGCGAAAGCGUGACGCAGCGACGCCGCGUGGGGGAUGAAGGCCCUCGGGUUGUAAACCCCUUUCGCCAGGGACGAAGCGAAAGUGACGGUACCUGGAGAAGAAGUCCCGGCUAACUACGUGCCAGCAGCCGCGGUAACACGUAGGGGACGAGCGUUGUCCGGAUUCAUUGGGCGUAAAGCGCGCGUAGGCGGUCGUGCAAGUCGGUUGUGAAAUCCCGGGGCUCAACCCCGGGACUGCGUCCGAUACUGUGCGACUGGAGGCAGGUAGGGGAGAUCGGAAUUCCUGGUGUAGCGGUGAAAUGCGCAGAUAUCAGGAGGAACACCGGUGGCGAAGGCGGAUCUCUGGGCCUUGCCUGACGCUGAGGCGCGAAAGCUAGGGGAGCGAACAGGAUUAGAUACCCUGGUAGUCCUAGCCGUAAACGUUGGGUGCUAGGUGUGGGCGGACAUCGACCCCGUCCGUGCCGAAGCUAACGCAUUAAGCACCCCGCCUGGGGAGUACGGCCGCAAGGCUA
rnacentral:rRNA from 1 species